ensembl:lncRNA
GUGCUUAGCAAAAGUUUUAUUAGAUCUUAUUUAUUUUUUUUAUUUUUUACUUUAUUCAUUUUUUUUUAAAUUUCCAGACUAGGAGAAAGAGAAGCUCUCGGCCUCCUUUCAUCUGUCUCUCUCUCUCUGUGGGUGCUGAAUGUCUCUCGCCCGCUCUCACCUGUCUUCAUGGAGCUGCAGACUGUAUUUAUAUCUGCUGACAACAUCCUGCCUGCUGUCUGACCUCAGAUCUGCCCUCCUUUUAUUUUAUGUCUCUCAACAUGAGAGCUGCACCUCCUCGUCCUCCAUGUGAGCAUCUUUCUUUACUGUCCUGUGGUCACAACAAACUGCUGGAAUCUCUUCAGUUAUGCUGAUGUUUGUUUUCAUGAACACUCCGAUGCCGUGCCGCUGAGGAUGAGGAGGCAGUGCAGCUCCUUCCCUCCAUGUUUGGGGAAGGGUGCAGGUGUGACUGUUUCUGCAGGGGGUCAGAAACUACCUGAGAGUGAAAGCAUGGCUGCUGAGGAGUCUCCUGUCUUCUGUGUGGAUUCAGUUUGUCAGACAGGACGAGAGACAUUUACAUAACAAACACAGGGAGAGAGAGAAACCCUGCUUUGGUUUCUGCUGUUUUAUCUUUAAUGUGAAGAAAACGAACCAGAAACAACAUCAGCACGGUCUCUCUCUCUCUCUCUCUCUCUCUCUCACACACACACACACACACACACACACACACAGGACUUCUUGUCAAGCUGAAAUGUGACUUUUCC